ACUUCCGUAUAGUAUAAAAAAUAUCCUUGUUAUGUAAAAGUUACAUUACUAGAAACUUUCAUUAUAAUCCGUUAAUUAGUUUUUGCGUGAAAGACUAACAAACUACCAUAAAUCUUCACAUCAGAAACUUCCUUGUUUAUAAAAUCAUACUUAGAUUUGUUUCUACAUAAACAGUAGGCAAUUACCGAGUAAAAACUAAACAUACUCAAUUGGUACAUUUUUACCCGACUACCAGGGAGGGUUAUGUUUUGUCACAUGUAAUCAUAACAAAGUCUAGAAGUGACAAAACAAGUCAGAAGCCGUCUAAGAAUAGACAAAAGGAUUACAUCAUUUCCUUUUUACCACAGGAAGUCGUCAUCAUCAAUUACCUACAAUCCUAGAAUAGUCCACUUUAUUGCCAACAUUCUUUAAUCCUUACUAAUGUUAUAAACUAAGCUGCUGCCAGCGGUUUCACCCGCAUCCCGUUGGAACUUUUUUACGAACUCGGCUAACAAGCCUUUAGCCUUUCUCGAUAAAUGGGCUAUCUAACAGAGAAAGAUUUUUUCAAAUCGGACCUAUAGUUUCUGAGGUUAGCGCGUUCAAGCAAACAAACUCUUCAGUUUCAUAAUAUUAGUAGUAUAGAUGCGAAAGUAACAUCUGUCUGCUGCGUUUUGACGCCAAAACUACUGAACUAAUUUAAAUGGAACUGUGGGACCGCGGGGAACAGUCAGUUUUAAACAUGUAGUCAAUUCCUCUGGCCUUAUAGAUUUGAAGCAAGGCAAGUCAAGCAAAGUCAGCUGGUUUGCUAUAUCUUCAGGAGUUAUUCGGAGAGCUGAACACACUAUCUCGUCCCAGGAUUGGUUGAUAGAAGACGCUGGUGGGAGGCUACUGGUCUUGUACUGGUAAACUGGGUCGUGUUGUCUGCCAUUCCCGUUUUCGCCAUGACUGGAAAAGAAUUCAUUGUGAAGUCAAUAUGCAUGUUUAUGAUAGCUCAAAUCUAAAGUACCAAAAUAAAAUACUCAAUAUCUUAUAAAAA